CCAACAGGGAUUGCCUCAGUAACGGCGAGUGAAGCGGCAACAGCUCAAAUUUGAAAUCUGACCCUUUCGGGGGCCCGAGUUGUAAUUUGUAGAGGGUGCUUCGGGCGUGGCCUAGGUCUAAGUUCCUUGGAACAGGGCGUCAUAGAGGGUGAGAAUCCCGUAUGUGACCGGCGAUCCAGCCCAUGUGAAGCCCCUUCGACGAGUCGAGUUGUUUGGGAAUGCAGCUCAAAAUGGGUGGUAAAUUUCAUCUAAAGCUAAAUACCGGCCAGAGACCGAUAGCGAACAAGUAGAGUGAUCGAAAGAUGAAAAGCACUUUGAAAAGAGAGUUAAACAGUACGUGAAAUUGUUGAAAGGGAAGCGCUUGCAAUCAGACCUGCCCGUGGGUGAUCUGCCGAUACUCGUAUCGGUCACACCUCGCCCACGAUCAGGCCAGCAUCGGUUUGGGCGGUGGGAUAAAAGCCCCUGGAAUGUAGCUUCUCUCGGGGAGUCUUAUAGCCUAGGGUGUAAUGCUGCCAGCCUGGACCGAGGACCGCGCUUCGGCUAGGAUGCUGGCGUAAUGGUUGUAAGCGACCCGUCUUGAAACACGGACCAAGGAGUCUAACAUCUAUGCGAGUGUUUGGGUGUUAAACCCGGGCGCGAAAUGAAAGUGAACGGAGGUGGGAGCCCGUCAAACGGCGCACCAUCGACCGAUCCAAAUGUUUUCGGAUGGAUUUGAGUAUGAGCAUAGCUGUUGGGACCCGAAAGAUGGUGAACUAUGCCUGAAUAGGGUGAAGCCAGAGGAAACUCUGGUGGAGGCUCGCAGCGGUUCUGACGUGCAAAUCGAUCGUCGAAUUUGGGCAUAGGGGCGAAAGACUAAUCGAACCAUCUGACGACGCCGAUCGGGCAGCCUCGAGGUUACUGGAUGGUUCCCCUGGGCUCGGGUGGCCUGGGUCAGUCCCCACGACGGGGGCGACAUCGCUAGUUUUCGGGUAUGCCUCCGGGCGAUCCGCAGCGGGCCACGACCCGUUCACAGACUAUACGGCGGUGGCCGCAAGCGUGCUUGCGGUUAUGAGAUAGCCGAAACGGGCCCCUAACGGAGCCCGUACGAUGAGUAGCUGGUUCCUGUCGAAGUUUCCCUCAGGAUAGCAGUAACGUUUUCAGUUUUAUGAGGUAAAGCGAAUGAUUAGAGGCCUUGGGGCUGAAACAGCCUUAACCUAUUCUCAAACUUUAAAUAUGUAAGAAGUCCUUGUUACUUAGUUGAACGUGGACAUUUGAAUGCACCGUUACUAGUGGGCCAUUUUUGGUAAGCAGAACUGGCGAUGCGGGAUGAACCGAACGCGAGGUUAAGGUGCCGGAAUGCACGCUCAUCAACACCA
rnacentral:rRNA from 1 species